GACGAACGCUGGCGGCGUGCUUAACACAUGCAAGUCGAACGGAAAGGCCCUGCUUUUGUGGGGUGCUCGAGUGGCGAACGGGUGAGUAACACGUGAGUAACCUGCCCUUGACUUUGGGAUAACUUCAGGAAGCUGGGGCUAAUACCGGAUAGGAGCUCCUGCUGCAUGGUGGGGGUUGGAAAGUUUCGGCGGUUGGGGAUGGACUCGCGGCUUAUCAGCUUGUUGGUGGGGUAGUGGCUUACCAAGGCUUUGACGGGUAGCCGGCCUGAGAGGGUGACCGGCCACAUUGGGACUGAGAUACGGCCCAGACUCCUACGGGAGGCAGCAGUGGGGAAUAUUGCACAAUGGGCGGAAGCCUGAUGCAGCAACGCCGCGUGCGGGAUGACGGCCUUCGGGUUAUAAACCGCUUUCGCCUGUGACGAAGCGUGAGUGACGGUAAUGGGUAAAGAAGCACCGGCUAACUACGUG
rnacentral:rRNA from 1 species